ACAGAGUUUGAUCCUGGCUCAGAUUGAACGCUGGCGGCAGGCCUAACACAUGCAAGUCGAACGGUAACAGGAAACAGCUUGCUGUUUCGCUGACGAGUGGCGGACGGGUGAGUAAUGUCUGGGAAACUGCCUGAUGGAGGGGGAUAACUACUGGAAACGGUAGCUAAUACCGCAUAACGUCGCAAGACCAAAGAGGGGGACCUUCGGGCCUCUUGCCAUCGGAUGUGCCCAGAUGGGAUUAGCUAGUAGGUGGGGUAACGGCUCACCUAGGCGACGAUCCCUAGCUGGUCUGAGAGGAUGACCAGCCACACUGGAACUGAGACACGGUCCAGACUCCUACGGGAGGCAGCAGUGGGGAAUAUUGCACAAUGGGCGCAAGCCUGAUGCAGCCAUGCCGCGUGUAUGAAGAAGGCCUUCGGGUUGUAAAGUACUUUCAGCGGGGAGGAAGGGAGUAAAGUUAAUACCUUUGCUCAUUGACGUUACCCGCAGAAGAAGCACCGGCUAACUCCGUGCCAGCAGCCGCGGUAAUACGGAGGGUGCAAGCGUUAAUCGGAAUUACUGGGCGUAAAGCGCACGCAGGCGGUUUGUUAAGUCAGAUGUGAAAUCCCCGGGCUCAACCUGGGAACUGCAUCUGAUACUGGCAAGCUUGAGUCUCGUAGAGGGGGGUAGAAUUCCAGGUGUAGCGGUGAAAUGCGUAGAGAUCUGGAGGAAUACCGGUGGCGAAGGCGGCCCCCUGGACGAAGACUGACGCUCAGGUGCGAAAGCGUGGGGAGCAAACAGGAUUAGAUACCCUGGUAGUCCACGCCGUAAACGAUGUCGACUUGGAGGUUGUGCCCUUGAGGCGUGGCUUCCGGAGCUAACGCGUUAAGUCGACCGCCUGGGGAGUACGGCCGCAAGGUUAAAACUCAAAUGAAUUGACGGGGGCCCGCACAAGCGGUGGAGCAUGUGGUUUAAUUCGAUGCAACGCGAAGAACCUUACCUGGUCUUGACAUCCACRGAASUUUYCAGAGAUGRRWWKGUGCCUUCGGGAACYGUGAGACAGGUGCUGCAUGGCUGUCGUCAGCUCGUGUUGUGAAAUGUUGGGUUAAGUCCCGCAACGAGCGCAACCCUUAUCCUUUGUUGCCAGCGGUCCGGCCGGGAACUCAAAGGAGACUGCCAGUGAUAAACUGGAGGAAGGUGGGGGAUGACGUCAAGUCAUCAUGGCCCUUACGACCAGGGCUACACACGUGCUACAAUGGCGCAUACAAAGAGAAGCGACCUCGCGAGAGCAAGCGGACCUCAUAAAGUGCGUCGUAGUCCGGAUUGGAGUCUGCAACUCGACUCCAUGAAGUCGGAAUCGCUAGU
rnacentral:rRNA from 1 species